UUUCGCCUCACGUCGCGGCGAUGAAGUCAUCACCCGCGCGCUCACAACAACAGCGUCGAGUCUCGUGAGGAGAGCAGUUCGCGGUACUUCACGUGUUUACAUUAUUGUAAAACACUCUUAACCGUUUAUUUAAGCAACAUCCAAAGAGCUCACAAGUGCAAGCAUCAGAGCAUCAGGAAGAAGAGAAAUCUGCAGAGACAGAGUUUAUUGAAGGACAGAGAGAACAUGAAGAUCCAGAACCCUGCAGAAUCAAACACACUGAAGAACAAACAGAUCCAAUAGAGAAGAAACAUGUCAAAACUGGAGAAAAAUCUCUCACAGAGACUGAAAGAGUUUCUUUACUGAAGAGAAGAGACAAGAAAUCUUUCACCUGCACUCAGUGUGGAAAGAGUUUCACAUGCAAACAGAGUCUCAGUGUUCACAUGAGGAUCCACACUGGAGAGAAACUGCACAUCUGUGAUCAGUGCGGAAAAACAUUUUUAAGAGCUUCACACCUGAAGGGUCACCUGAAAAUACAUUCAAAGGAGAAACCACAUUCUUGUUCUUUCUGUGGAAAUAGUUUUUCACAUCUGCAUACUUUAAAAGUUCAUCAGAAGAGACACACUGGUGUGAGAGAAUAUAUGUGCUUUGAGUGUGAGAAGACUUUUAUUACAGCUGAAGAUUUGAAACGUCACCAGAGGAUCCACACUGGAGAGAAACCUUACAAGUGUUCACUCUGUGAUAUGAGAUUCAGUCAGUCAGGAACCCUGAAAAAUCAUGAGAGGAUUCACACUGGAGAGAAACCGUAUCACUGCUCUGCAUGUGGGAAGAGUUUCACUCAAUUGUUUUCUCUACGAAGUCAUAAAAUAAACAAUCACAAUAAGUAGUUAAUCUUCAGGUGUGUAUUCCAGAAAGGAGGUUCAACAAUCUCAGAGUUGUCUUACCCUGAGAUGGGAAACUCUUGAGUGUUCGGUUUCAGAACAGCUAAAUCGUGUGUUCAGUCGACUCUGAGCAGGUUGACUCUGAGUUUAGCGCGUGCACCACGACUAUGAGAAGUCAUGAUCAAUAGAGCUCCGUAAUUAUGAUUCACCACGGCAACAGCACCGACAAAAAGGACAUCUGCAUACGUAAAUUUAAUUCUUAAUCACUGUUACAAUAUCAGAGGUGAAAACUGUAAAUUAACUAAAUGUAAUUUUCAUUGUAUCCCAUGGCAAAAAAAAGAAAGAAAACGAACGUAGCAGCAUCUAAAAAUGAAUUAUAAAAAACACAAUUCAAUCAGGGUGAAGCCUUAAGUAUAAAGGUUUCAUGGGUGUAGGCUACAUGACGCUCUUCAUUCCUCGCUGGAAAAGGUGUCAAAGAAGACGCGGAACUCGAGGUGGAUUUUAAGUCAAGCUAAAGGCAAGUCUAUCUUCACAGCUACCGAUGCAAUGUUUUUCCCUGACUGACAUCACAAAGGGAAAGGACUGUUCUAUGGUCUUGUGCUCUAUGGAGAUACCAUAUCAGUGGAUUAUUCCUGUGCUCCCCGGCACCUGCAGUGAACUCCCGCUGCGGUGUAUCCCACAACUUUGCUCAUGGGUAAUAAACUUAUACCCCAUGGGAAAUGUACUUGUAAAGUCUUCAUUCCCUGCAUCACAGAUCGGGUGAGCUGGAAGUUUUCCACAGAGUUAAAAUUUGCUCUGACUAAUGUGCGGUCACCUGCAAGCAAAACUUUUAUCUUAAAGGAUUUCUUUGAUUCUAAGAAUUUGGACAUUUUAUUUUUAACAGAGACCUGGAUACAUACUAGUGAUCUAAGUUCACUUUCUGAGUUGCUACCGUCUAACGGUGGGUUUUUUUUUUUUAAUUCCCCACGAGCCUCUGGUGGCAGAGGUGGUUUGGCAACUAUUUUUAAAACGAGCUUGAAUUGUCAGACUCCGCACACUACACAUUAUGCUAGUUUUGAGUUGUUUCAGUUGAACUCCUCAAUACUCUGUGCUGUGGUCUAUCGUCCUUCAAAAUUCAACAAGCCGAAUAAGGGAUUUUACAGACAUUUUGGGCGAUAUAUGUUUAAAAUAUGAUAAACUUUUAAUAGUGGGGGACUUCAUUCAUUCAAAGUUCAUUUAUUUCAGUAAUUCAACUAAAUGACACGUCUGUGUGUGUUAUGUAUGUAUUAUUUAUUAGUUAUUUUAAGAAGGCUUUGACUUCAAAACAUACUGUAAUGCCACCAUAUGAGGAUUAAGUUAAUAAAAGUGGUAUAUUAUUCUCUCUA